UUUAUUGAAGCUUUCUUAGGAGGGGUAAAAGAUGAAGGUUUCCUGUUAUCUUCCAUAACUCAAAGCAAAACUUUCAAAAUUCCUUAUUCAAUCUCUCUCUUUCCCUAAGGGAAAGAGCCCCUGAAGUUCCUCUCCAUAAUGACUGCCAAAUCCCUCUCUUCUCUUUUCUCUCACCAACGACUUUCCUCCUCUUUGAACCUUACUCCUCCAUUCUCUGUGAGCACCACGUCUGCCCCUCUUCCCUUUCGAGGAGAGCUCUUAGGUGUGUCUCCAGCUCCUCUUCCCUUUUAUGAUCUCUGCUCGGUAAAUCCAGGGAACUUCUGGACUCGUCUUUCUUGGGGGUGAUUGUGGCUAGAAGGUCAUAAGUAACUUCUUUUCCUUUCUCACAUGACUCUUGAUCCCUUCUAAAAGCCCUCUCAUUUUCUUUUCUUGUCAUUGCUGAACAGUCUUCAGCAUUCUUUUUGCAGAAGUUUCUCUAACAUCUUUUCACUCCAGAUCUAUGCUUAACAGACGCUAAAGCUACUUCUUCACAGUUCCUUUAUCCAUUUGCCUUUUAAAAUUAUUUUGCUUAUAUAUUAUUUUUAAUGAGCUUAUCACCUCUUCACCAGCCUUCUACAUUGCAUAGGCUGCUUCCACCGGGGGAGCAGCAUUCAUUUCCCACUGCUGUCCCCAGUGCCCUUCGUCCCUGACUCCCUUCCCUGCUCACCAUUGUUGUCCACGCAUCCCUCCCAGUAUUGUCUGUUCUUCUCAUCUCCUCCUUGUCCAUAUUUGUAAUAACGUUCACUAUUUUUAAAUGAUCAUUUUUGUGUUCUCAUUUUUUCAGGGGCUCUCCCCUAAGUCUCUGUCCUGUGACAUAAAACUGCAUGCAGCAUUGAUCUCUGUGGGUUAGGGGAGAUGGGGUUGAGGGGCAGAAUAUCCUCUCCACCAUGGCGCUCAUGUGGGCUGGACAUUCUGUUGGGGCGGGGAGACUGUCAUGUGCACUGUGGGAUGUUUAGCAGCACCCCAGCCUCUACCCACUAGACAUCAGAGGUACCCUCUCCAUUGUGACAACCCAAAAUACCUCCAGACAGUGCCAGAUGUGCCCUGGAGGGCAACAUUUCCCCACCCUCUCCUCCUGUUGAGAACUGCUGUUCUAGAAUAUCACCUUUCUGAAGUUGAUGGAUGGUUAUACUUUUUCUUCCCAAUUUGUGAUUUGUUUGCUUAGCCUAGAUUUUUAAAAGUGUGGUCUUUGUCUUACUUGGUAGGAGGGAGCCUCUUAAAAUUGCAGGUUCCCAAUCUCAUCCGAGGCCUACUGAAUCAGAAAUUCUGGAAGUGGAAUCUGGAAAUAAAAUUUUUAUAAGGCAGUACCCCCCACCCCUUCCCAAACAGGUAAUUCUUAUGCCCUGGGCUUGACCUUCCUGUGGUAUAACUGCUGCAUUACCCACAUUUUUUUCCUGCAGGUCUUCCUGGUUGCUCCAGCUUUGCUUCCGCUCUUGGCCUCAUGAUGCCAACACAAAUAGGGAGGCCUCAGGUUACCCGGACAACUGGAGCACAGGAAACCGUAAAGGCGCAGCCCUCCCACAAGGAAUCAGACUGUGGCCAUGCCCGCUUGCUUUCACCGAAGGGACUCAGUCAUACUUCCUACUCCCCAUUCUCCAGCUACCCAGUAUAGCAGAUACCCAGGCCCAAGUCACAGACCCUGAUUUUGCAGACCUGGUAGUGGAAUAUGGAAUGAAUGGGAUGAAGAAAGCACAACAGGUGCAAUAGGAAAAGACGAAUCUGAAAUGAAGAUUACCUCUCUCAAAACAGACAUGAUGCUCCAAGCAGUCGUUCCCGUUGUGAGCUGUACUGUAAAACCCUAUCAUUGCUGUUGGGCAACAUCAAAAUACCUUACAUAUGUAGCAAUGACGGCGCACAUGCCCACACCCAAUGAAGUAAGGUCAUGCCACUGAAGUUAUCUCCAUUGAGGUGGCAGGUGAUGUCAUGACUGUGGAUAAACUCACCAAGGAAGUGAGUAUGGAAAGGAGAAUGCAGAAAGCUGAAACUUCGGCAUGGGGGUGGGAAGCCUACAGCUCAGAGGAGGAAGAGGGUCUUGCUGGAGUGAGAGAGCACUGGACAGUGAGAUGGAAGAAUGGGAUAAUGAGCUGUGGCAGGAGCCAUGGGAAGAGCUUUAAGAAGAAGGUGAUGGUCCACAGUGUCAAAUGUGAUUGAGGGAGAGUGGAAGAGAGAGGAAAGACAGAGAGAAACAUCAACGUGAGAGAAACAGUUCGAUUGCCUGUACGAGCCCUCACCAGGGCUGGGCUGGGGAGGAGCCUGCAACCAAGGUUCUCUUGGACCUGUCUGUCUUGUGUGCAGGAGAGAACGGCAUACAAUCAAAACCUUGUUCUGCAAGUCAGGUUAGCCAGGCAGAGAGAAGACUGGAAGGUGUUUUAUUUCUCUGGAGUCUUACAGGCCUGGAGGCACGGUCUGGUGCAGAACAAACCUGAGGGUCCAGAGUUAGCUGCAGAAUCAGAUAAAACAAAAUUCCUUUUCACUACCAGUGUUGGAAGCUGGAACUCCAGUUACCAUCCCUCCUUGUUAAAAAACAAGCUGUCUUCCAUUUCUACUGGGUUUGGGGCAAGAGACAUUUGAAGAAGGGCUUGCCUUUGGUCUUGGAGCCUCAUGGAUCCAAUUAUAUAUGCUCCUCAACGGUAAGGACUGUAUCAUCCAGCUAUUUUUUUUUAUUCACCCCUGCCACUGUGCAAGGCAGCCAGUGUUCCAUAAAGAAAUACCGUCCCUAAGAAUAAAAUAGCAUUAAAUUUCCCCCCAAACCACUAGAUGUCGCCUUCAUCUCAGAGAAACUAUGCCCCCUCCUCUCUCCCUGCACCCCCACCUCCCAGCCUCCCUCCUACCACACAGAAGCUCUCUCCGCUGGCAGUGAUUUCCGAAGUGGCUUGAAGGGGAAGACAAUCUGUGGCUCUUGGCUGGGGGAGGAGAAUGGGUUUAUGUGCGUGUUCUUUAUGACAACUGAGAAAAGCUCCCCAAGGUCUCCUUGCUGUCCCUCCCAGCAAUCAUGAUAUCGUCCCUCACAAGCUGUUCCUCAGAAUCAGAUCCGCACUCCGGAUCCGGGGUACCUGGGGUGAGCCUUGUAGGUUGGAAGCUUGGGAGUGGAGUGGAACCCAAGGGGGAUAGAGUGGACGUCUGUUGUUGGGGGAAUGUUCUGCUUAGUCAGUCCCUGAGCUUUUAUGGGGUGCUGGCCUGUGCUGUGUGGGGAGACAACAGAGACAAGAGUCUGUUCUGAGCUCCUGCCCUGCAGCAGAUGGUCUGGUGGAAGCCCCGUGGGCUGUGUGGGCCUCGGGGGACAUGGGAGGGCACCAGAGGGUGGGGAGGGAAGAAGGAGGUGGGAGCGUUGAGUCCUAAGGAAGGAGACUCAUGGGCAUUGUAAGGGCUCAGGAAAAAUCGAUCCUGGGCGCCUCUUGGUCCUGGAGGGGCCGCCUUCCGGCACGCAGGCAUGUCUCACGGGAGGAGAGAGGUUCCUGGAAUGAGAAGGGUGGGUGACUAGGUGGAGGACUAGCGAGGAUCCCAGAUAUUUGGGGGUUCCUGACUGCUUCCUGGAGGCUGGCGUAUUUGAGGGACUCAGCCGAGUUAAGAGGGGACCUACCCCGAGAGGGAUCCUGAGGGCUGAUAGGAGAGUGUGAGGCAGAGAGAGCCCGGGGGCCACAGGGGCAGGCCCUUAGGUGCAGGGACACCCGGAAACCUCGCCGGCCCGAGAGGCCCCGUGCGGAGACCCCGAGUUGUCCCGGUGGGUUUGAGAGCUGGGAGGACCCGAGG